GGGGAAAAAUUAGUUAAUUAUUAAAUAAAAAAAAAAUUUUUAAAUAAAUUAUUUUAAUGGGGGUUAAAGUAUUUUUAUUGAAAAAAUUAAAUAAUUUAUAGUAAAUUAGUAUUGUAAAAGAAUUUAGAAUUAAAUAAAAAAAAUUAAUUAUAAGUAAUUUUAAUUUAAUGUAUCUUGUGUAUCAGAGUUUAUUAAAAAAUAUUUUUAAUAAAAAAAUUCUCGAAUUUAAAAGAGAUAAUUAAUUAAUAAAGUUAUUGUAGCAUAAAUAUUUAAAAUAAUUAGUUUGAAAUGAAAUGUUAAUCGUUUUUAAAUAUAUCUAGUUUUUUUAGAAAAAAAUUUAAUUUUUUAUUAUUUAAUAAAAAAAUUAAUUAAUUAAUUUUUUUAUUAAAUAAUAUUAUAUUUUAAGGGAUAAGCUUUAAUUUAAAUUUAUAUAAAUAUUUAAAUUAAAUUAAUUGAAAUUUAUAUAAUUUAUAUUGUUAAAAAAUUUUAGUUUAUUAUAAAUAAUUUCAUUUAAAAUAAGAUUUAAUAAAAUUUUAUAUUUUUAUAAAAAAAAAAUUUUUAAUAUUAAAAAAUUUGAUAUAAUGAUAAAAUUAGUAUAUAAAUUUUAAAAAUUAUUAUUUUUAAAUGAAGUUAAUUAAAAGGAAUUCGGCAAAAAUUUAUAUUCACUUGUUUAUCAAAAACAUGUCUUUUUGAAAUUAAUAUAAAGUCUAAUCUGCCCACUGAUUUUUAAUUAAAGGGCUGCAGUAAUUUGACUGUACAAAGGUAGCAUAAUCAUUAGUCAUUUAAUUGAUGACUUGUAUGAAAGAUUGGAUGAAAUAUAAACUGUCUCUUAAUUAUAUUUAGAAUUUAAUUUUUUUAUUAAAAAGUUAAAAUAAUUUAAAAAGACGAGAAGACCCUAUAGAGUUUUAUAUAUUAAUUUAUUUAAGAUUAUUUAUAAAUUUAAAAUUAAAAUUAAAUUAUUUAUUUUGUUGGGGUGACAGAAAAAUAUAAUAAACUUUUUUUUUUAUUAUAAACAUAAAUAAGUGGUUAUAUGAUCCAAUAUUAUUGAUUAUAAGAAAAAAUUACCUUAGGGAUAACAGCGUAAUUUUUUUUUUUAGUUCGUAUAAAAAAAAGAGUUUGCGACCUCGAUGUUGGAUUAAGAUAAAAUUUAAAUGCAGAAGUUUAAAAUUUUUGAUCUGUUCGAUCAUUAAAAUCUUACAUGAUCUGAGUUCAAACCGGUGUAAGCCAGGUUGGUUUCUAUCUUUUAAUAAUAUGAAAUAUUUUAGUACGAAAGGAUUAAAUAUUUAAAUUAAAUUUAUAUUAAUGAAUUUUAUUA
rnacentral:rRNA from 1 species